CCGGCACGGGUGAGUAACACGUAUGCAACCUGCCUGCCACAGCCGGAUAAUCGGGAGAAAUUCCGUCUAAUACGGCAUAAUGCAUCGACGGGACAUCCUGUUGGUGCCAAAGGUUAAUUCCGGUGGCGGAUGGGCAUGCGUCGCAUUAGUUAGUUGGCGGUGUAACGGACCACCAAGACGACGAUGCGUAGGGGUUCUGAGAGGAAGGUCCCCCACACUGGUACUGAGACACGGACCAGACUCCUACGGAAGGCAGCAG
rnacentral:rRNA from 1 species